ACAACUCUCUGUGCAUAAAGGUGUUAAUUCUUCGAACAAAGGCGAUGGUUCCCGAUAAAUUAAUUGUAUUUUUUCUUCUAAUUAUUGUAACAAUCUAUACCGCAGAUGAAGCUAGUGGAGACGGUUGAUAAUAUCAGAAAUUUUGCAGCAAGUUGACCCAUGUGUAGAUGUUUUAUUAACAGCGAAUGAUAGAAAGAAAAAUAUGAACUGAAUAAACGCAUUCCUGAAUGAAAUUACUAAUCUUAAA